ensembl:piRNA 21ur-441 ncRNA
UGAUACAGAAGAAACAGAAGA